GGAAAUGUUGGGUUGGCCAAAAAGUUCAUUCAGAUUUUUCCGUACUCUCUUACAGAAAAACCCAAAAGAACUUUUUGGCCAACCCAAUAG
rnacentral:miRNA from 1 species